rnacentral:rRNA from 1 species
GACGAACGCUGGCGGCGUGCCUAAUACAUGCAAGUCGAGCGGACUUUCAAGAAGCUUGCUUUUUGAAAGUUAGCGGCGGACGGGUGAGUAACACGUGGGCAACCUGCCUGUAAGACGGGGAUAACUCCGGGAAACCGGGGCUAAUACCGGAUAAUAUCUUUCUUCGCAUGAAGGAAGGUUGAAAGGCGGCGCAAGCUGCCGCUUGCAGAUGGGCCCGCGGCGCAUUAGCUAGUUGGUGAGGUAACGGCUCACCAAGGCGACGAUGCGUAGCCGGCGUGAGAGGGUGAUCGGCCACACUGGGACUGAGACACGGCCCAGACUCCUACGGGAGGCAGCAGUAGGGAAUCUUCCGCAAUGGACGAAAGUCUGACGGGGCAACGCCGCGUGAGCGAAGAAGGUCUUCGGAUCGUAAAGCUCUGUUGUCAGGGAAGAACAAGUACCGUUCGAAUAGGGCGGUACCUUGACGGUACCUGACCAGAAAGCCACGGCUAACUACGUGCCAGCAGCCGCAGUAA